rnacentral:lncRNA from 1 species
UACAAAAUGAGCUUUCUGCAGUAACUUUUUGCUGAGCCACUCAUCUGGUCCCCACUCAAUCUUAGGGGAAAAUUUAAUCCUUUGCCCGGGCACCUUAAAAGGAGGUGAAGAGGAAGUUGUGUUUGAAUUUGAUCGUCAACAGAGGCGGACAUUUCCCAGGUGCUGGCCAGCAAAGACCUGACCUGCUGAUCACAGUGAAUUCUUUCCUUAUCCUGAGCUUGUCCUCCAUGCUGUCUAUUACGACCACAGAUUCAAGUUCAAAAGUGGUGCUUGUCUUCCUUGGCUUUUCUGUGACGGAUGGUCCCACGCACAGGACCUGUCAACAGCAAUGCCUCUCACUUUUCCAAGUAGCAUCACCACUGAAGCAAGACAGUGGAAAGAGAAGAGGAAAAAACCACCUCAGCCCACUUAAGAUCAUGCACUUGAUAAAACUGUUUUCUUAGCCAG